GAAUGAGUUUAUUGAAGGGAAAGGGAAAGGGGAUACUCUCAAGGGAAAGAGUGGGUCCUCUCAGGAGAGGGACAGUGUUCCUCUCCUGCACUCCAGUUUUUCCCAGAGAAGUUUCCAGAGAGUCCCAUUCAGUCCACUUCUUCAAUUUUGACUGACAAGUCCCCACUGUUGUGGCAACUCUAAGUCAUGUUUAGCCCCCCCAAAAAUGGAGAUUAGUUCAGGACCUUUGUAUAAUCAGUGAAGCUGCAGUCCCUUUGCACCAGUUGUUCCAAACCCAUUUACUCCCCAAGAGAAUUACUUAUAAUACUGUCCUAGAUUUGAAGGAUACAUGCAUUUUUCUGCAUUCCUUUUUGUCCAAAAAGCCAACCUCUAUUUGCCUUGGAGGCUCCUACUUGUAAGGCCCAACAAGUUACCUUGACAGUCCUUCCCCAGAGCUUUAGAGACAGUCCCCAUCUGUUUGGACAAGCACUGGCACAAGACCUCAUGGACUGGUCAUACCCUAAAACAGUGUUACUUAGGUAGGAACAUGACUUUCUUUAAUGUGGAGCUUAAGAAAAAAUAAUUUCUGAGAGCACCGACUCUCAAUUUCCUGGACAUAUAAGAGAUAUAAAAUCUCUUGAGAGAAGGCUCAGUUGUGCCUUCUCCAGGUUAUUUACUUUGGCAUGACACUGGGAGGUGAAAAGCGUGGCACAGAAAGAAUUCAACCCAAACUCUCAUAUCCCCUUUCUCAGACAGUAAAACAACUCAGGGCCUUUCUAUGAACAAGGAAGUUUUCAUGGAAACUUAUGCUGCCAGACCAGAUUUAUCUGAUCAUCCUAUAAAUUAUCCCAAUCUCGUGCUAUACACUGUUGUAGUUCCUUGGUGAUUAAUGGGAUUUGGAGAUCUGGAUAUGCAGUAGUGACAGAUUUUGAGGUUCUUGAAUCAGGGCCACUUUCUGUAGUAUUAGCACUUAGCUAACAGAAUUAGUUGCCCAAGAGCCUUCUAAAGAUAAGAGCAUCAUCAUUACACACACACACACACACACACAUACAUUCUAAAUAUGCCUUUCUUAUAUUUUAUGCUCACACAGCUAUCUGGAAAGAGCAAGGAUUGCUUACUACUACAGGCAUUCCUAUUAAGCGUGCCAAGAAGAUUCUUUGCCUCUCAGGUAGCAGUUAUCCAUGUUACUGGACAUCAGAAGGGACAGGACAUAAUAGCUUAAGGAAAUAAGGCUGCAGAUGUUACAGCCAAGAAAACUGCUUUACAGGGUUCCAUAGUUACCCCACUCCUAUAGGAAAAUUAUUUUCUAUCCUCUGAACACCCCUGGUACUCAAUGGAAGAAGCUCAACAGGCUGUUACUCAAAGAUACUAACUAGAUCAUAGAGGACGGUGGGUUUCUCCUGAGGGCAUCCUAUUCCCAAACAUACCAAUGAAAGAUUUUAAAAUCUCUCCACCAUCUCUAACAUUUGGGAAAAGAUAAUACUUUUACUCUAAUACAAAAAAAAAAAUGUUUUCA
rnacentral:lncRNA from 1 species